UAUAUUAUGAUUACACUUCUCUCACCUGCC
rnacentral:piRNA from 1 species